GAAACAACAGCCCAUCAUAGAAUCCAGAACCACCAGGUGGAGUACGACGUAACUGCAAGAAAGAAGGGAAGAAGGUCAGGUCAGCCUCUUCCUUCCGGACAAUGGGAGAAAGUUGCAUCUCCCUCCGAGAGCACCUUACCUCUGCAGGAGCAGACAGAGCGUGUGCAGCCGCAGCAGUCCACUCCUUGGGCUGGAGAUUGAAGGCCACACCCUGCUGGCUGAGCUGGGACAGCAGGCCAGCCGCUGCACUCUGAAAAGGAGAGCAAGGUGGGGAAAGGAGCAGGAAACAAGGAGGUUCAAUGCCCUACGCUGCAGCUGGAUCCCAGAAGAGGAGCUCAAAUUUGGCCUCAGGCAGAGCCUCUGACUGUCCCAGUUUUCUGUCCAAGGGGGAUAACGACAUCGACUUCACAGGGGUGUUAUGAGGAGCCAAUGAAAUAUAUGUAAAGUGUUUUGCAGAUCUCUGAAUGCUGUAGCUAAUAAAUAUCUAUUAAGUAUCUACCAUGUACCAGACACUUUAGAUAAAUAGGUAAAUGCUAGCUAUCCAGAUUCUGAAUGGCUAUGGGAUUGGAUGAGAAAGGAGGACUAUAUCUUGAUGUAGAAUAGCAGCAUUUUCUUGAGAAACAGCUAAAAUUGGGACAGUUGUUCUACCUGUCCUACAGCUUCAUGAGGAGUUUGGAAAGAAACUAGAUUAGACUUACAACAAGAGAAACAACAGGUGAAUGGACAAAAAGAACAGCAAGCUCAUUCCCGAUCU